rnacentral:lncRNA from 1 species
AAAAGAAGAGGGGCAGGACUCGUUCCCGGGAACCGAACCUGGAAUCCCCGGCGGCAGUGGGGCUGUUGCUGUUGCUGUGGCUGUCGCUGCCCGUCAGGCUGCCUUCUUUUGUCGUUUCCCAGCGCUGCGCAGGACUUCUCCUGGCGGCGCUGCGGAUCCAGGGGGUCGGCUGCCAGGUACAGGGGUUGAGGCUGGGCAAACGCCGCGAAACUAUCGCUCUUCCCCGUCCCGCUUCCGCGCCUGUCCACCCUGGGUAACGGAACCAGCAUCGCGGUAGGGACAUCCUCGCUAGGCCCGGCCGGACCAUUCCUCAGGGUGGGCCCUUUCCGAAGCCGGGACCGCUCCUGCUUGUCGGCAUCGCUCCCCACAGGCCGACGUCGAGAGGGCCUGCUUUACUCCUCCUCUUUCUCCUCCUUCUCCCGCGGCUUCUGCGCGGAGAGGCGUCGCCCGGGAUCUGGGUUUUGGAAGAAGGAUCUUUGUGGGAAGACAGGGUGAAUUUAUCACAGAGGAAUAACGAGGGAGAGGAGAAAGGUUUGUCCAUGGGGCUGCUAGACUAGUGGAAGGGGAUGCGGUGCGUCAAGGGAAAAUUAGG